rnacentral:rRNA from 1 species
ACCAGACUCCUAUGGGAGGCAGCAGUGAGGAAUAUUGGUCAAUGGGCGGAAGCCUGAACCAGCCAAGUCGCGUGAGGGAAUAAGGCCCUACGGGUCGUAAACCUCUUUUGCCGGGGAGCAAGGGCGGGGACGUGUCCCGGCCCGGAGAGUACCCGGAGAAAAAGCAUCGGCUAACUCCGUGCCAGCAGCCGCGGUAAUACGGAGGAUGCGAGCGUUAUCCGGAUUUAUUGGGUUUAAAGGGUGCGUAGGCGGGCUUUUAAGUCAGCGGUAAAAAUUCGGGGCUCAACCCCGUCCGGCCGUUGAAACUGUCGGACUAGAGACGGCGAGAAGUACGCGGAAUGCGCGGUGUAGCGGUGAAAUGCAUAGAUAUCGCGCAGAACUCCGAUUGCGAAGGCAGCGUACCGGCGCCGGACUGACGCUGAGGCACGAAAGCGUGGGUAUCGAACAGGAUUAGAUACCCCCGUAC